GCUUGUUUGGCUCAGUUGGUAGAGCGUCAGUCUCAUAAUCUGAAGGUCAGCAGUUCGAUCCUGCUAGCGAGCA